UUCCUCUAUGUUGAUUGGCAUAUAUACCCUUUAACUACACUUCUCUUUCUCGUUACUAAGCUGAUCAAAGUCACAUUAAUUAUUAUUUUUUACCAAUUUCUUAAAAACAAACACUGGUCUACUUUCUCAAUCUGUAAUCCCAACCACGUUUUUCUUUCGAUUCCUUCUCUUCCAUCCAUGGCGACCCAAUAGCAAGAAAUUAUUAGUCUAUAAUUCGUAAAGCCAGGUUCCGUAAUGGUGAAAUCUUCACCUUCCGAAACAGCUAUGGAUGAGAAUCGCGGUUCCAUCUGCAGAAAAUCCGGCCCAUCACGCGAAAAGGCCAAGGUCGUGGAGAUGUUAUAUACAUGGAUAUGAAUCGGAGAGGAUUGAUAUCAACUGAUUUUCAUAGCUUAACCCUAUCAUUUCUCUUGUUUUGGGUUCAUCUUGCAUACAAUUAAGUGCAUUUAGUGUCCCUGCAUCUGCAUUUGCAUUGUUGAACCUUUAGAGCAGGUAUUCAGGUGAAAUGGAGCAAAAUGGAGAGAUUGUGGUCGCAGGAAUGUACUGGCGGCCUGGCUAGCGGUCUCUGCCAAGACAGCUAAAACAACAACUCCACAGCGGCCACCUCUAGCGGCCUCUACCUUAGCCGCUGGAGAAAGACAGAGAAAACCCGAGGAAACUCCAAUCAAUUCCAUUUAAUCCAGGGCACAGCGGUCAGAAUCAGCGGCCAAACCCACACAGCGAGAGUCAGAAGAAUCUAGCGGUCUCUCCUAGCGGUCCCUACCUAAGCCGCUAUACAUGUUCUGAAGACGAAGAAGAAGCUCCCAGCGGCGACUAUAGCGACCAGAAUGAAGGCCGCUACACUCCCCUUACUAGCGGUUGCUCCUAGCGGUUUUAAACAAGGCCGCUGCAGUCACUUAACCUAAAGUGAUUUCGUGUUUUUAACCUCCUAGUAUAAAUAGUCUUUGUCUUGGUUAAGAAAGGACAUCCUUUUAUCCAUUGUAAAACACUGAAACCUUUGGGGGAUCUUUGGAGUUUAUGCAAUUAGUACUUCUAUUCU